AGGAGAUUAACUCAAUGGUAGAGUGACUGUUUUACACGCAGCAAGUUAAGAGUUCAAGUCUCUUAUCUCCUA